UACGGAGGGUGCAAGAGGGAUCCGGAUUCACUGGGUUUAAAGGGUGCGUAGGCGGGUUGGUAAGUCCGUGGUGAAAUCCCCAAGCUUAACUUGGGAACUGCCGUGGAUACUAUCAAUCUUGAAUAUCGUGGAGGUAAGCGGAAUAUGUCAUGUAGCGGUGAAAUGCUUAGAUAUGACAUAGAACACCAAUUGCGUAGGCAGCUUACUACACGAUCAUUGACGCUGAGGCACGAAAGCGUGGGGAGCAAACAGG
rnacentral:rRNA from 1 species